rnacentral:rRNA from 1 species
AUUGAACGCUGGCGGCAGGCCUAACACAUGCAAGUCGAACGAGUGGCGGACGGGUGAGUAAUGUCUGGGAAACUGCCUGAUGGAGGGGGAUAACUACUGGAAACGGUAGCUAAUACCGCAUACCAUCGGAUGUGCCCCGAUGGGAUUAGCUAGAAGGUGGGGUAACGGCUCACCACGGCGACGAUCCCGAGCUGGUCUGAGAGGAUGAACAGGCACACUGGAACAGAUACACGGUCCAGACGCCUACGGGAGGCAGCAGUGGGGAAUAUUGCACAAUGGGCGCAAGCCUGAUGCAGCCAUGCCGCGUGUAUGAAGAAGGCCGUCGGGUGGUAAAGUACUUUCAGCAGGGAGGCGUUACCCGCAGAAGAAGCACCGGCUAACUCCGUGCCAGCAGCCGCGGUAAUAC